rnacentral:rRNA from 1 species
GACGAACGCUGGCGGCGUGCUUAACACAUGCAAGUCGAACGGAAAGGCCCUGCUUUUGUGGGGUGCUCGAGUGGCGAACGGGUGAGUAACACGUGAGUAACCUGCCCUUGACUUUGGGAUAACUUCAGGAAACUGGGGCUAAUACCGGAUAGGAGCUCCUGCUGCAUGGUGGGGGUUGGAAAGUUUCGGCGGUUGGGGAUGGACUCGCGGCUUAUCAGCUUGUUGGUGGGGUAGUGGCUUACCAAGGCUUUGACGGGUAGCCGGCCUGAGAGGGUGACUGGCCACAUUGGGACUGAGAUACGGCCCAGACUCCUACGGGAGGCAGCAGUGGGGAAUAUUGCACAAUGGGCGGGAGCCUGAUGCAGCAACGCCGCGUGCGGGAUGACGGCCUUCGGGUUGUAAACCGCUUUCGCCUGUGACGAAGCGUGAGUGACGGUAAUGGGUAAAGAAGCACCGGCUAACUACGUG